UCCUUUAGAAUUUUAUUUAAGGUUUGACCUGCCCACUGAUUUAUUGAAUGGCCGCAGUAUUUUAACUGUGCAAAGGUAGCAUAAUCCUUUGUUUUUUAAUUGGAGGCUGGAAUGAAUGGUUGGACGAAAUAUUGACUGUUUCACUUUAAUUUUUUAUAGAAUUUUAUUUUUUAGUUAAAAAGCUAAAAUCUAUUUAAAAGACGAGAAGACCCUAUUAAUCUUUAUAUUUUUGUAAAAAAGGAAUUUUUAGGUUGUAUUUAUUUUUUUUUUUUAAUAAUAUUUUAUUGGGGUGAUGUUAAAAUUUAAUGAACUUUUAAUUAUAAUUUUCAUUUAUUUAUGAGUGUUUGAUCCAUUAUUGGUGAAUAAAAAAAUAAGUUACUUUAGGGAUAACAGCGUAAUUUUUUUGGAGAGUUCUUAUCGAUAAAAAGGAUUGCGACCUCGAUGUUGGAUUAAGAGAUGUAUUUGGGUGU
rnacentral:rRNA from 1 species